CUCCUAACUGGAUCCCUGUAAUCUUACUUUUAGUUCUCUAAGAGAAAAGGACCUGAGCUCCGGGGACUGGGCCGGCCGCGCUUUUUCCGUUCCCAUCCGGGGAGCCCGCCUCGCCCCGCCCCGGUAGCUGCAGAAGGAAGGCAGGUAACCGGCGCAGGGAGCCAGCGCCCGCGGCCUGGCGGGACCUUGUUGCAACCGGGGGGCAGGGCACGCCAGCUCGUCCAAGACCCCGUUGCUCCGCCGCGGGCCGGUGCAGUGGCGUUUGGGGCAAGAUCCGAGCCCCUGCCCCACUACCCAGAGCGCGAGUGUAACCCGAGGCAGCAAGCGUCUUCUCCGGUUGCGCGCUGGGCGAGGCCUGGAGCCGCACCGAGGCGAGGCAUCCAUCUUCCGUGUUUGGAACCGGGCACUCGACCUGUGAAAACCACGCCUAUGCAGCAACACAAUUGGUCCGAAAGCGUCAAAGAGCCAAUCAAGAGGCCUCCGGCUCCCCGCAGCCCACAGCAGAGCCCGACCUUCUAGAGCCGCCGAGCAGACGCCCGGGGAAUUCUAGAGGCGGAGGAGGGUGGCGAGGAGCUCUUGCUCGCUUUCUCUCGCUCCCUCCCUCUCCUCGCGCUCCCUCUCCCGCUCCGUGUCUCUCUCUCUCUCUCUCUCCCUCCUUUCCAUUUUUCCCCCCUAAAUCCUCCCUGCCCUGCGCGUCUGGACGCAGAUUUAGGAAGCGAAUUCGCUCACGUUUUAGGACAAGGAAGACAGGCGCGGGAGAAGAGCAGGCAAGAUUCGGAUUGAAACGCAGACACCCUCCGGAGGCUCGGAGCGGAGGAAGGAGGAGGAGGGCGAACGGAAGCCAGUUCGCAGUUCAAGUUUUGAUAGCGCUGGUAGCACAGGGCUUCAAUCAGAGAUUUUUUUUUUUUCAAGGAGAGAGACUUUUUCCGCUCGCUCCCUCGCUCGCUCGCUGUGAAAGCCGAGUCUAGCGCAACUGCAGACGCCUCCUGCGAGAAAGAGGGAGAGGAAGGGAGAUAGGGGCGGGGAAGAAGCAGAAGAAGAGGGGAAAAGUCUCCUAGGAGAAGCGUCCGCAUUUGCAACAAAGAGCUGGGGGCUGGGGAGCGGUUCCCGGGACCGAGGGCUGCAGUGUCUAUUUCGAGUUAAGCGGCAGAGCUCGGGCGCGAGCCGAGACCCUGCUCGCUCCUCUCGCCUCUGAAACCGACUUCCAGGAGCGGCUUUUUAAACACGCAAGGCACAAGGACAGUCACCCAAGCGACUAUGUCUCCUGAUUUCUCGCCUUGCCCUCUUUAAAAGCGGCAUUCUCCUCCCCAAAAGACACUUUGCCCCCCUCCCUUUGAGGUGAUUUAGCUGUGAUUUUUUUUUCCUUUCUCCUUUUUUUUUUUUUGCUUUUUUUUUUUUUUUAACUAUGUGCUGCUGUUGAAAAACAAAAACAAAACAGCAGCUGCGGACUUGUCCCCGGCUGGAGCC
rnacentral:lncRNA from 1 species